ACCUUCACACUGCAUCCUCGCGACUAAUGACAAUCCUUAACUUUCAUUAAGUUAAAGUCUCUCAUUAGCCGCGCGAACCUCUGCAUUGGAAGAUCCUAUUUAUAAAUCUUAUAUAAUAAUAACAAUAUACUAACGUAUUCUAUCAUUACUUCUUAGAAAAAAGGGGCCAACUUGGCCCCUUUCU
rnacentral:sRNA from 1 species